GACGGAGGGUGCUAGCGUUGUUCGGAAUGACUGGGCGUAAAGCGCGUGUAGGCGGCCAGGUAGGUCGGUUGUGAAAAUUGGAGGCUCAACCUCCAGACGUCGAUCGAAACCAUCUGGCUAGAGUCCGGAAGAGGAGAAUGGAAUUCCUGGUGUAGCGGUGAAAUGCGCAGAUAUCAGGAAGAACACCAAUGGCGAAGGCAGUUCUCUGGGACGGUACUGACGCUGAGACGCGAAAGCGUGGGGAGCGAACAGG
rnacentral:rRNA from 1 species